rnacentral:rRNA from 1 species
GAUAUCUGGUUUAAUGCACCUGGCCCGCGGCCACUAGGCUCUAGAAAACGAUUCUGCCAUUCACUUGGUUGGGAUCGCGAUCUAGAUCUUUUACUUUGAAAAAAUUAGAGUGUUUAAAGCAGGCUUUUGCUAUGAAUACAUUAAUAAUAAUCUAGGACUUCGGUUCUAUUUUGUUGGUUUCGAAAACCGAAGUAAUAGUAUUGGCCGGCGAGAGGUGAAAUUCUUGGAUUCGGUCAAGACUAACUUAUGCGAAAGCAUU